UGGUUUUUGUACUAGGGCCUUUGUAAGGGCACUUUGUAAGGGCAGAAACAGCCGCAGUAUCGUGCGAUGUUGCAGCCACUGCAGUUUCACUGGCUUUGCGGCCACAGUUCUAGCAGUUCUCCGUUGACUCUUCUGCUCGUUUAUGACGAGAAAGGCAUCCUCUGCAGCCUGCCGUUUGACGUCCGCUAUUGUCUGCUCCAUUCUAGCUCUCUCGGUUGCAGUCACUUCAAAGGCUUUUUGCUCUGCCUCAGCAACAGCUUUUUGUACUUCUGACAUGGCCUGAAUUUUCACCUUAUUCACAGCUUCAGUCUUUUUCCAAAACUCCACAGGUACAUAUCCUAUUCCCUGCCUACUGUUGAAUUCCCGGCGAGAAUCAUUGCUGAGAGAAUCUGCGCUCCCAGGAUUGUGCUGCCUGGAGACCAACUCACUCCCUGUUUUCCUCAUUUCUGUUUUUGUUGAAUCGUCUUUUCCAGUAGUUGAGUUCUUCACGGUCUGCUUCUUGACAGUGCCGCAGGACUGCCAUGGAGCACCUUGUUUUCUCUGCCAUUUCCAUAAUGCAGUUGAGGGCACGGUCAAGAUGUUUCCAUUCAUCAGCCCAUUCCCUUUCUGUCAAACGGUGGUCUACCAACUCAUCUUGAUAGCCUCCAUUUAGACCUCUCUGGACUGGGCCUUUUUCCAUUUCCAUGCACUUCCAUGAGCAGCUCAGAAGAGUCAGCAGGGGAUGCAAUACUUGUGUUGAGCAGAUGGUGUUCUCGUUGAGCCAGGUACUGGGAUGGGGUCUGCUUGGCAGCCCGAGCGCAGUGCAGCAGUUCUUGCUGCAGCAGAGAAAGGUUGGCCCUGAGGAAUGGAAUAAAAAAAGGAUGAAGAGGAAAGUUUGUAGCCUCCUGGAGCUUGCAAUGGAAUUCUUCAAUUGUUACUGUUGAGUUGACCAGUGUUAGAACAAGAGUCUGCACCUUCUCCCCAGUCUCAGGUGAGAUGACAUUGCCAAACUGCUGCAGAGUGGCGAGGAAGCGUUUCAACUUGCUGAGCUGCCGAGCACCACGAGUGGCUGGCAACUGUUGGUUAGUUAGUGCAGAUGAUGUGGAAGAGGCAAGACCAUUGCUGAAUCUUUGUGGUGGUGAUGGGGCACUGCUAAGGGUAGGAGGAGAAUUGUUGAUGCCAUUGCUCAAUGCUGUAGGAGUGAAUGACACGGGCCUGGGUCCUCCAGGAUUUAUUGGUGGAAGGGGUGGCAUGGUGGGAGGUGAGGAGCUUGACUGUAUCUUCACUUUCACAGGAGAUCCAGGCAUCGCUGGCACCCUUUUGUCAGCACCAAGCUGGAAGGCGGCUGCUCCAGGGACGCCCACCAUUGCCCAGGGCUGCUGCCGUGCACUUCCACCUCCACUCGUGGCCUGGGUCCCCUGCAGGCACUUUGAGGCAUCAUGCUAAUUAAUUUGGCCCUUGGACACAGCACUGUGUAUUCUGAGAGGACAAUGAGGAGAAACGUAUCAGAGCUUGCAUGUCUUUUCUCAACUCUUAACAGAUCAUUGUAAUCGAUGAAGCAGACAGCUGAGUUCCUGGGGGCUCUCACUGAGUUACCUGUGGGGAUGCCUAUGCACUGGUUGGCUUAGUUACUUUGGCUCUAUUCUUGGUCAGAACUGAAAUUGUUUCAGAGUAUUCAUGAAGAUUUCUUAAUACAUUAAAACUUGUUACUGUGGUACACAUGAAGUAUGAGAUUUGAAUCUUAUAAAUUAAAUCUAAUAUGUCAGACUUUUUUCCUGCUUGCUCAGUCACUCAGUCGUGUCCAAUUCUUUGUGACCCCCAUGGACUAUGGCCCGCCAGGCUCCUCUGCCCAUAGAAUUUUCCUGGCAAGAAUACUGGAGUGGGGUGCCAUUUCCUACUCCAGGGGAUCUUCCCGACCCAUGGAUUGAACCCACAUCUCUUGCGUCUCGUACAUUGGCAGGUGGAUACUUUACCAGUAGUGCCAA
rnacentral:lncRNA from 1 species